GUCAGGAUGGCCGAGCGGACUAAAGCACCAGACUCAAGUUCUGGUCCACAAAUGUGGGCGUAGGUUCGAGUCCUACUUCUGACA
rnacentral:tRNA from 1 species